rnacentral:lncRNA from 1 species
GAAAAAUGAAGUUUAAUUCUAGAAAUCAUAUUUUCAUUUAAAAAAAAUCUAUAAUAGGACCCUAUAUGGGUACUUCCAUGAAGCCAAGGUUUUAUAGGACCCACAAUUCCAAAUAUAUUUUCUGUAAUGAUGCUGCAUUUGAAUAUUGCAUUGUGGGUACUGCUCACUGACUUUGAACCAGGAAUCUCUUCUUUCUUGAAUGUUGCCUGUCUUAAUGUGAACUAUUGGAAAUAGAGCAGCAGCAGAAUGAUAAAUCAGAAACGUUAGCUCUCAAGCUACCGAAAAUCCUAAUAGUGCCACUGUACUACUACAAUUUUUGCUUUUAAAAUUAGAAAAAAAAAAUCUCAAAUCUUAAUCUUUUAAAGGUAAAUUUGAAUUUCUCCCAUAAAAUGAGAAGAUGAACUGACUUGUUUUUAAUUUGAUAAUCAAAUGAAUAACAUUCUAAUUUCUGAUUCUGAUUUCUUUCAGAAUAUGCUUGGAACACAAAAACUGGCCGGGGGCCAUUUUCAGGACCUACCUACAAUCCUACAGCAAAAAAUCUAAAUAUCUUGAAUCGUGCACAGCCAGUCCCUUCAGUGCACGGGAGGACAGACUGGGUGGCCAAGUACGGAGGCCACCGGUAGGACCUCUGGUGAGAACCCUUAGCAUUGCUCCACAGAGUAUGUGCAAGUCUCUGACCUUGGGAAAUGUCUACAGAUGUCUAUUUCUACUGAGAUCUGGAAGAAAUAUGCAAUAGUGGGUACUUCAAAGAGCAAAAAUCAUCUCCUAUUUUCUUUCCUGGAAAUGAAAUGCAUUUUCUUAGCAUCGUUGCCCACAGUGCUGCUGUGUGGGUAGGACUUUACAAAGUAUUGAAUAAACUAUUUGCCAAAGUAUCAAGUAUUUGAUCUACAAAUUAACAGAUAGUAAGUACAAUAAGAAGCUUCUUUUUAAAAAAUGCCUCCAGAAAAUAAGUGUUUCAAGUGUUGAUUUUCCUUUGUUGUAUAUUGGCCUCGCAAUGUGAUAUUUUAUCACUUUGCAGUGAUUCAGCUGAGAGGUUUUUUAUUUUGUUUUUUCCUGGUGGUGAGGCGGACUGCUGUGAGCUGUCAGUUCUGGGUCUUGCUUGGCUACUGCUCUGCUCUCCCACUUUGGCAAUGGCAGGACUGUAAAAUUUUUUUUUUUUUCUACUUUGACACUAUGAGCUCAAUGACAAUUCCAAUCUUGAGCAGUAUGUUUCCUUGGAAAUAAAUUUCCACUUAACAUAGAAGAUGUCUUCUCCACUAGAUUUUAGUGGAGAAAAAGCCCAUUGUUUGAACUUGACCAACACAAGGGCUGUGAGUUGGUGGCGUGUCUGACCCAGUGGCUUAAUGACUUCACAUUGAACACGUCAAGGUUCUCUUGUCAUUGCAUCAAGAAAGUUUUUGAAAUGUGUUUGAUGCUUGUUCAUUUGACUUGCAGAAUACUUUUUUCCAUGUUCCUACCACAGGCAAAGAUGAAGUGGGCCAGCCGGUCCCCAAAGCAGCAUUUGCCACUGCAGGCCACUGACUCGGCUUUGACCUUCGUGUUCGCUCGACAGAGCAGAUGAAUUCAGUUGCCAUAGCAGUGGUUUCACUUAGUACAGCUUUUUUUCUUAGUUUUAUUCUCAAAUUGGUAUAUAAAACAGACAUUUUGAACUUAGGGGGCUAUUCUAUUUAAACCUGCCACCUUAUGGACUGGACAUUAGUACUGUAUAUUCCUUUUCAAAAAUAAUGUUAUCAGCUGCUGACAUUUUUAUGUAUUUUAUGGCUUUGUAACAAAUGUUAAUGUAACUGGUUUAAUAUUGUGGGCAUUAUCCAAAGGCAUUAUAAAAUAAUGAUAUUUUUGUAUAGAAGAUUCAACUGUUCAGGUUUCAUGCUGAAAUCUAAAGGGCAACAUACCUGUCAGUAAUGGUUAUAUGUAAAGUUUUAAUGUCCCAAAGCUAAUAAAAAUUAUUUUGUUUCUGAAAAACUAAAACUCUGAAUAGAUAUUUAA